rnacentral:misc_RNA from 1 species
AAGUCGUAACAAGGUAACCGUAGGUGAACCUGCGGUUGGAUCAUUAAUAAAUAACUCGCUCUUUCCUUGGAAAUUGCAAGCACACCGUGUCAUGAAAUUUGUACGUUCCUUGUCUAGGCAAGGAAUCAUUAAAACACCCUAUAAUUUAAAUGAAUUUUUAACAAUUGUUCCUUGAACAGUUUUCUAAAUGAAAAAACAACUUUUGACAACGGAUCUCUUGGCUCUC